rnacentral:lncRNA from 1 species
CCGCCCAAUUGGUGGCACGCACAGCCUGAGGCAAUGCAUGCUGCCAUGCCUACCACACGCUACAAGCCUAGCAAACUGCACGCGUAGGCCUGCCACGUGAAGGCCUAUCGCGUGGAUGGCAUACAUGCUCGGAGUCGAGCUUGUUCGUGUGCGAUGGGACGUGUGCAGACCGUGCCUCACGCUCCGCGCGAGACGUGCGCACAGGUGCACGUCCUGUGCUAGCCAUGCGCACGCUAGUGCGAGCGGCACGGGGAGCCUGGGUAGGUGAGGUCUUUCUCGCGGGUAUUUCCGCAGGAUUUUCCGUUGCUUCCUCUAUUGUUCCCCUAAAAUCUUUUCAAUUG